AGGAAUCUCCAGAAGAAUUAGACAUCCUGUCUUAUAGAUGCUUAUUCAUAAAAGAGUGGGGAGAGCCUGAAGGUGUAAAAUGUGUUAUUUGCCACCUUUAAAACUUCUCCAUGGUGCUGAGAGGUCCAUCAGUCAAACUGCCACAUUUUACAGAUGAGGUUGAGCUGAAAGCCUGACCCACCGCGUGCUCCAGCGCAGCCUUCUCAGGGUUCGGCUUUGGAGUGGGGAGUGCGGUACAAGGCCUUACCGGGCAUUUGCUCAGCUAAAAAUAAAGCGAAGCUGGCUUCUGUCUGCUAUCACUCCUUAUACGUAUUGCACUCCAGCCUGGGCAACAGAGUGAAACUCGGUCUAAAAAAAAAAAAAAAAUCUCAUAUGCUAGAGUUGUCACCUGGCAAAAUAAAUUUGGAGCUAAUAGCCAGGACCUUGAGAGGAUUUUGUUCCUUGGCUGAAUGCAAAUCCUUGCCAUUUAGUGAAAACAGCAGGACUUCAAGAAGCAGCAAAUCCACAUCACAUCCAUCAUCUUCAACUCCCACCAUGAGCUUGUCCCAUAUGUAAAAAUUAAAUCCAAGAGAAACUUAAUAUUUAGGAGCUGAUAUUCUCUUAACUCCUUUUUUUCCUUUUUCUUUUUUUUAUUUUUUUAUUUUUAGGGUCUCACUCUGUCACCCAGACUGGAGUGCUGUGGCACGAUUGUAGCUUACUGUGACCUCAAACUCCUGGGUUCAAGCAAUCCUCCCACCUCAGCCUCUCAAAUAGCUGAGACUAUGGGCACACACCAUUGUGCCCAGCUAAUUUUUUUUAUUUUUUAUAGAGGUGGGUUUUCACUCUGUUACCCAGGCCAGUCUCGAACUCCUGGCCUCAAGCGAUCCUCCUGCCUUGGCCUUUCAAAGUGCUGGGAUUACAAGCAUGAGCCACCACACCUGGCCUCUCUUCACUCUUUCUAAGAGUUAAAUAUUCUUUGGGGAAAGAGCAUUCAACUGAUCAAAUUUCAUAGUGUAUUUUUUCUCCAGGAUUUAGGCAAAGCAAAAAUGCUGAGAGGUUUUGAUAAUCAUGUUUAAUUUUCAGAGCUGUUAAAAUAUUGUUACUUAUUAGGGAAAAAAACAAUUUUAUAGUUGUUACAGAAAAACAGAUCUUUUAAAUUAGAAAUAAAUUGGUAGUUAUCUAUAUCGAAACAAUUUUUUUUACCUAAAUUUAACAAAUUCUUAUUACUAUGCAGACACAGAAACCUCAAUUUCAUUUGGCAGCCUGCUCUGCACAAAACAUUAUGUUGAUGCUGUUUGAAAGCCAAGAUUUACCAGUCACCACCCUGCAGUAAUUUAUGAUAUGAAAAAUGUGCAUAGGAGGUGAAUUGGGCAGGAACUGGCAAAGGCUUCAAGGAAGAAGUGCCAUGUUAAGCAAACCAUACAAGGUUGGUAAGAUGUCAACAUAUGGAGAUGAACAGAAUAUUCCAAAUGAACGGCAUGAACAAAGUUUCCCCCAAAUGGUGAAAAAUAGUCCCUCCUCUGCCCUGAAAAUACAGAGUAACUUAAUAGGCUCCUUUACUUCUACGAGCCAGGCACACAAUUUCCCUAAAAGGAAUUGCUAAAGAAUAUUAUGGGACAGGCCAGUGGCAUUGGCGCCCAGGAGGUCUCCCAAGCAUUCCGUAGCAGACAUGCCUCUCACAGGCUGCCAUCUCUGUAGGCUGCCUAGUAGGCAGGCAGUUCUGGGGCACCAGAUCUCUUCUUGACUUUGGAAACUGGAGAGUCUGGCAGGGUCAUUUUCUUCUUUCCAUGGCAUCUUCCCAGACUGCCUCCUGCCAGCUCCCAGGGAGGAUCAAGUGAAUGCGUCUCAGUUUAUGCUGAAGGCAAUGCCUAUUCUGCAUGCCCAUCAUGGGAAUUCAGAGACGCACAGGCAGGCCGCUGUAGGUUGUGUUGGCCCGAGGACCCAGCAGAAUGGGCAGGUAGCGCUGGUCUGAGUCUCCUGAACAAGGAGGAGUCACGUUUUAGCCUCCUUGGCAAGUACUAGGGACCUGGAAAUUCCCUGGCCUCAUGGCACCCUUGCUUGGAGCAGAGACUCCACUGUAAAGGGGCAAUGUCUUCCCAUUCCCUAAGGAAUGUGUGCCAGGGUCCCUGACAGAGGGAUUUAAUAAGAAGCUCCAAGACCAAGUCAAAUGAGAGUUCUGACAUUAAUGGCUAAUAAUUAGUGACUAAUACUUGGGACCAGUAGCAAGACCUCCUCCCUCGGAGGCCUAAUAAAGAACUGUAUCACUGGUUGGGGAAGGAGUUCUUGUUUUGUUUUGUUUGGUUUUUAAUUUUUUUUACUUUUUUUGGUAAAAAUUGCUGGGGCACCUGUAAAAUGUUGCUUCAUGUAUAAGACUGUGUAGUGAUCGAGUCAGGGUAUUUAGGGUGUCCACCACCCGAGUACAGUGCGUUUUAAAACAGACACCCUACUCUGCUAUCAAACAUUCAAUGUAUUUCUGGGGCAGGAGUUUUUAUUCCAUCCCAGUGCAGGAAUGGCUGAAGGAAACCAGGAAGCAGAGUAGGAGACUAAGGAAUGACAUCAACAUCAGUGACCCUGCAGGGAUGGUGACAGGAACAAUGUUUGCAUGGCAGCCAC
rnacentral:lncRNA from 1 species